rnacentral:rRNA from 1 species
CACGUAGGGUGCGAGCGUUGUCCGGAAUUAUUGGGCGUAAAGAGCUCGUAGGCGGUGUGUCGCGUCGGCCGUGAAAACCUGCAGCUUAACUGUGGGCUUGCGGUCGAUACGGGCAUCACUGGAGUUCGGCAGGGGAGUCUGGAAUUCCUGGUGUAGCGGUGAAAUGCGCAGAUAUCAGGAGGAACACCGGUGGCGAAGGCGGGUCUCUGGGCCGAUACUGACGCUGAGGAGCGAAAGCGUGGGGAGCGAACAGG